ACACGAAUGGUGUAAUGGUAACAUUGGGUCUUCCCAUCUUCGCGCUACAAGCGAUGUUUGGCCUAGCUUCGGGUUCGAUUCCCGGUUCGUGUA